rnacentral:lncRNA from 1 species
CCUGCCCAGAGGUAGGAGUGAAGUCCAUGCUGGGCUGAGCUGCUCAGGGCUGGGGAAGUUCUGAUUUCAGCAUCUCUGGAAGUGUAUGGCCGCUUCAGAAGAAGCAAGGUGUUUUCCACAGCAGAGGAGAAAGCAGGGAGACACUCAGCCAAAGUGGGAUGAAUGACUGUCUUAGAUCAUGGUGGUGGAGAUUUGGAGAAUCAGUGAUCUGGUCUAUAAGCCCUGAAAGUGGUUAAGAAACAAGUACAAAGAAUGAAGCAGAUGGGUGCUAUUAUGCCUGGAAUAAAAGGCUUGCUUGGUUCUUAAGCAUGCUUCUGAUUCUGCAAAGGAUUGUGCUGACUCAGCCUUCUGUCCACCAGAAUGCCCACUGUGUAUUGCUCUCUGGAGCAGGAGUGCUGCCGCUAAGGACUUCUGCUCUGAGAAAGGGGCUGGGGAGGAAAGCUUCCAGCCCCUGGGAACAUGGAAUGGUGCCCCCUCAGGAAGCAUGUUAAUUGACCUAAGUCAGCAGAGUCAGCCAGGCUCUUUUGCCCCCCAAAUUCCGGGGUUCCAGGUAAGUACAGUUACUUAGCAUCAGCUCAU